GGUUGAAUGAAUUAUUAUUUAAGUUAAAUUUUUUGGUUUAUAAAUUGAGUAUAUUAUUGUUUAAUUAUUUGUUAAGAAACGAUUUUUUUUAUUAUAGAUUAGUAGUAUUGAUAAAGAAUUUUUAAAAAUUUGUAAAAGAAUAAUUAAUUUUUUGUACCUUGUGUAUCAGGGUUUAUUAAAUAUAGACUUAAUAUUUUGGUUUUCUCGAAUUCAGAAGAGCUAUUUAAAAAUAAAUUUUAUUGUGGCAUGAAUAUUUAUAAUUUUUAAAUAGAAAUGAAACGUUAUUCGUUUCUGAAUAUAUCUAGUUUUUUAAGAAAUAAAUUUAAUUUAUUUGUUUGCGAAGAAUUUUUUGAGUUUUUAAAAAAUUCUUAGUCUUUCAGUUAAUGCUUAAAGGGACGAGCUUUUGGGCAAAUUUUUAUAAGAUUGCGGAUUAUUAAUCAGGGGGGAUAGGAUUAGUAAUUUUUACUUUUAAAAGGGUGUUAUAAUUGACUUUGAUUUUAAUAUUAUUUUUAUAAGUCUUUAAUUUUUUUAUUAAAAUUAGUUCUAAAAUUUAAUUUGAAUUGUAAUAAUGAUAAAAUUAGUAUAAUUUUUGUAGAAUUAAUUUUUAAUUUAAAGAUUAAGUUAAGGAAUUCGGCAAAAGAUUUUCCGCCUGUUUAUUAAAAACAUGGCCUUUUGUUUAUUAUUUAAGGUCUAGCCUGCCCACUGAGUAGUUAAAUGGCCGCGGUACACUGACCGUGCAAAGGUAGCAUAAUCAUUAGUUUCUUAAUUGGAAGCUGGUAUGAAUGGUUGGAUGAGAAAAUAACUGUCUCUACUUAAAUUUUGGAAUUUUAUCUUUAAGUAAAAAGGCUUAAAUUUUAUUAAAAGACGAUAAGACCCUAUAGAGUUUUAUAAAUUUUGAUGUUAUAGGUUUUAGUAUUUUCGUCUUGAUAUAUUAAAAUUUAUUUAGUUGGGGAGAUUGAAAAAUUAGAAGAACUUUUUUUUUAUUAAAACACUUAUUUGUGAUUAUUUGAUCCAUUUUUUGAUUAUAAGAUAAAGUUACCUUAGGGAUAACAGCGUAAUCUUUUUUGAGAGUUCUAAUCGAAAAAAGGGUUUGCGACCUCGAUGUUGGAUUAAAGUUAAUUUCUGGUGCAGAAGCUAGAAAUUUUAGGUCUGUUCGACCUUUAAAAUUUUACAUGAUCUGAGUUUAAACCGGCGUGAGCCAGGUUGGUUUCUAUCUUUAAUGUUCUCUAAUACUUUAGUACGAAAGGACCAAGUAUUAAGUAUUUUAUUUUUAUUGGAAUAUUAU
rnacentral:rRNA from 1 species